CACGUAGGGCGCAAGCGUUGUCCGGAAUUAUUGGGCGUAAAGAGCUCGUAGGCGGUCUGUUGCGUCUGCUGUGAAAACCCGGGGCUUAACCCCUGGCUUGCAGUGGAUACGGACAGACUAGAGGUAGGUAGGGGAGAAUGGAAUUCCCGGUGUAGCGGUGAAAUGCGCAGAUAUCGGGAGGAACACCUGCGGCGAAGGCGGGUUGCUGGGCUGACACUGACGCUGAUGCGCGAAAGCCAGGGGAGCGAACGGG
rnacentral:rRNA from 1 species